GCCGGGUGUGGUGGUGGGCACCUGUAAUCCCAGCUACUCAGGAGGCUGAGGCAGGAGAAUUACUUGAACCCAGGAGACAGAGGUUGCAGUGAGCGAGAUCGUGCCACUGCACUCCAGCCUGGGCGACAGAGUGAGACUCUGUCUCAA
ensembl:misc_RNA Metazoa_SRP Metazoan signal recognition particle RNA